rnacentral:rRNA from 1 species
GACGUAGGGCGCGAGCGUUGUCCGGAUUUAUUGGGCGUAAAGAGCUCGUAGGCGGCUUGUUGCGUCGACCGUGAAAACUUGGGGCUCAACCCCAAGCCUGCGGUCGAUACGGGCAGGCUCGAGUUCGGUAGGGGAGACUGGAAUUCCUGGUGUAGCGGUGAAAUGCGCAGAUAUCAGGAGGAACACCGGUGGCGAAGGCGGGUCUCUGGGCCGAUACUGACGCUGAGGAGCGAAAGCGUGGGGAGCGAACAGG